GGUGCCGUGGCAAGAGAGCCACGUAAAAGACUGCAGAUGGUAACCAGCCAAAGGUGUCACUGCUGGGAGUUCGAUGAGCGCUGCUGCCUGCCUCGAAAUCCACCCACCCGACCUCAUGGAUCUCAUUCAAUGAAAGUUCGAGUUGGGAGUCAUUCUGGCUUCCGCUGCCACUUUCGGCAGACUUGUCUGAUCUGCAUCAAGCAUAAAUAAAAACAUCUGCUGCA
rnacentral:lncRNA from 1 species